rnacentral:rRNA from 1 species
GACGAACGCUGGCGGCGUGCUUAACACAUGCCAGUCGAACGGAAAGGCCCUGCUUUUGUGGGGUGCUCGAGUGGCGAACGGGUGAGUAACACGUGAGUAACCUGCCCUUGACUUUGGGAUAACUUCAGGAAACUGGGGCUAAUACCGGAUAGGAGCUCCUGCUGCAUGGUGGGGGUUGGAAAGUUUCGGCGGUUGGGGAUGGACUCGCGGCUUAUCAGCUUGUUGGUGGGGUAGUGGCUUACCAAGGCUUUGACGGGUAGCCGGCCUGAGAGGGUGACCGGCGACAUUGGGACUGAGAUACGGCCCAGACGCCGACGGGAGGAAGCAGUGGGGAAUAGUGCACAAUGGGCGGAAGCCUGAUGCAGCAACGCCGCGUGUGGGAUUGCGGCCUUCGGGUUGUAAACCGCUUUCGCCUGUGACGAAGCGUGAGUGACGGUAAUGGGUAAAGAAGCACCGGCUAACUACGUG